AUCAGCCAUCCUUAUGGUGCAGGAGAACAGAAGAGAUCUUGAGAUCAUCGGGUAUCAACUCAACACUUCACAGACAGGGAAAUGGAAGCCGAGGACGGUGUUUUAUUCAUCAUCAAUGCCCGCAGUGUUGGCGCCCUGUAGAAAUCUAUGAGCACAUCUUCCAGUUUUAGUUCACUGUGGAAAGGGCCAGACACACCUAAUAAAGACAAUGGGGGACCGGCGAUGCGCUGGAACACGCAGAUCUCAACUUCCAACUCAGGCCGUGCUGUCCCUCGGGGAAGGGAACAACCCAGACAACCGUCACCAGCCGCAGUAGUUCAUUCUGGGAUGUGCACCCGCCUGGGACCCGAGGACGUUUCCACAAGAGACCAGAAUUGGAAUCUGUGCCCCUCCCACUAAACCUGGACAUUGGCCCUCUCCUUCCUUCAGAGUGGAACUCCCACCCUCAGCUCUCCUGGGUCUCCAGUUUGCUGACUGCAGAUCUUUGGACUUCACCUCCCCUGUAAAUGCCUGCAACCCCUGGCUGAGCACCAGCAUCUAAAAUGAAAACUCAUGGCUUCUCCUCGGCCCAGCUCAAUCUCAAGAGUUAGAGGUGGGGUGCUUCACCCCAAACCUUGCAGAAGAGGGAGGAAGGGACAAAGGAGGAGGAACCUGCCAGGAUGCUGCCUCACUGUCCCGGGGAAACGCUGUGACUCUCUAAUAAAGACACUGUU